CGUGAUAGGUUGCGACCAAGCCACGAUCAAAAACACCAUCUACUACUUUCCUCUGUGAAAAAUGAGUGCCCCUGAAUAGCUUGAUCAUGUCCACAACCAGUUGAUCGAGCUCGCGGUUGUGUCACUCGUGCCCGCAAAGUGGAGUUUGCCCAUGCGAUUAAGGGCAAUGUUUUCGUCGCUGCCGAAAUUUGAGUGUUCUUUCAUUUUCUUCUAGUCUUUGAGGUUGUGGGAGGAUUUCUCAUCGUUGACUGCGACGUGGUGCCCGCCGCCGUUGUCCUUCGCUGCCCCGACGCCUGCUCUUCCUAGACCUCCGUCUACAGCUUCUCGUCUAGGAUUGGAACCAAACUUUUCUCAGACGGUGUGGCCGUCGGAGUAGCUUUUGAUUUAACUUUCUUGGUUUCUUUUUCUCCUAUUAUUGUAUGUGUAUAUAUACGUAUAUAUUUGUGCUAAAAUGUGUAAUAUUUAGAAAAAAAACUCUGAGGCAAAAAGAGAGGAGAGAGAGAGAGAGCCAAAUCAAAUUUGAGAUGGCACUAUUAGGUUCUUUUUUAUUUAACAUCUAGAUUUCAUAUAUUUGGAAAUUGGUUU